GGUGAACGCUGGCGGCGUGCUUAAGACAUGCAAGUCGAACGGCAGUCUUCGGACUGUAGUGGCGCACGGGUGAGUAACGCGUAACUGACCUACCCCAAAGUCGCGGAUAACGAUUCGAAAGAAUCGCUAAUACGUGAUGUGCUGUCAGAUUGUGUUCUGCCAGUAAAGAUUGAUUGCUUUGGGAUGGGGUUGCGUUCCAUCAGCUAGUUGGUGGGGUAAAGGCCCACCAAGGCGACGACGGAUAGCCGGCCUGAGAGGGUGGCCGGCCACCGGGGCACUGAGACCCGGGUCCCACUCCGACGGGAGGCAGCAGUUAGGAAUCUUCCACAAUGGGCGAAAGCCUGAUGGAGCGACGGCGCGGGAGGGAUGAAGGUCUUCGGAUCGUAAACCUCUGAAUCAGGGACGAAAGACACUUCGGUGGGAUGACGGUACCUGAGUAAUAGCACCGGCUAACUCCGUGCCAGCCGCCGCGGUAAUAC
rnacentral:rRNA from 1 species